rnacentral:tRNA from 1 species
UCUAAUCUACUAUUAAUUAGGUCUAUAUUUCGGCUAUAGAAUUGGAUAUAAAUUUAUCCGAUUAGAU